rnacentral:rRNA from 1 species
UACGUAGGGUGCAAGCGUUGUCCGGAAUUAUUGGGCGUAAAGAGCGCGCAGGCGGUCGUUCAAGUCGAAUGUGAAAUCCCCCGGCUCAACUGGGGAGGGUCAUUCGAUACUGAUCGACUCGAAGGCAGGAGAGGGAAGCGGAAUUCCCGGUGUAGUGGUGAAAUGCGUAGAUAUCGGGAGGAACACCAGUGGCGAAGGCGGCUUCCUGGCCUGUUCUUGACGCUGAGGCGCGAAAGCUAGGGGAGCAAACGGG